AUGGCUUCAUCUCUUAAGGCGGCCGCCGCUGUCGCCGUUUGUGUCAUGCUCGUCCUGAACCUGGGCCACCCGGCGGCAGCCACAGAAUGUGACAAUUGUCUGGGUGAUUGUGUUCCCAUUUGCGUCGCCUUCGCUCAAACGUCAUGCAGUGGCAUAUGCAACGCUACACCUCCAUCUCCUGCAUGCCAGACAUGCAAGAAUGCAGCCUUAAUUGAGUGCGGUGCAACAUGCUACGGCGGUUGUACCCUCUUCUGCUAG
rnacentral:rRNA from 1 species